rnacentral:rRNA from 1 species
GCGGAGGAUCAUUAAUGAGUUGUAAUGGGGUUUGAUGCUGGCAGCCAAUUUACUUGGAUGCAUGUGCUCACCCUGACAAUCAUCUUCCAAACACCUGUGCACAUUUUUGAGGGAGUUUCGAGUUGAUUGCUGCUUUGUGGCAGUUUUCUUGCAUUCCCUUAAAUCAUUUAUACGCUGUUAGCAAAUGCUGAACGUGCCUUUGUGCCGCAAGGCCAUUAAUGUAAUACAACUUUUAACAACGGAUCUCUUGGCUCUCGCAUCGAUGAAGAACGCAGCGAAAUGCGAUAAGUAAUGUGAAUUGCAGAAUUCAGUGAAUCAUCGAAUCUUUGAACGCACCUUGCGCUCCCUGGUAUUCCGGGGAGCACGCCUGUUCGAGUGUCGCGAAAUUUCUCAAGCUUGGAUGGCCUUUUUUGUCUAUCCUUAGCCUUGGUUGUUGGGCUUUGCCGUGUCCUUUAUUGGGACGGCUGGCCUUAAAAGCAUUAGCCGAUCCUUGUGCGGCACUGGUUCUACUCAGCGUGAUAAUUGUCUGAUCGCUGAGGACAUCUUUUGGGAUGGCCAGUCCUCAUUUGGGUUGCUUAUAGACCUGGUCUUGCAGAUUCUUGGAUCUGUGUUUCCACUUUUCAGCUUUGACCUCGAAUCAGGUGGGACUACCCGCUGAACUUAAGCAUAUCAAUAA